rnacentral:rRNA from 1 species
CCUACGGGUGGCAGCAGUGGGGAAUAUUGCACAAUGGGGGAAACCCUGAUGCAGCGACGCCGCGUGAGCGAUGAAGUAUUUCGGUAUGUAAAGCUCUAUCAGCAGGGAAGAAGAUGACGGUACCUGACUAAGAAGCCCCGGCUAACUACGUGCCAGCAGCCGCGGUAAUACGUAGGGGGCAAGCGUUAUCCGGAUUUACUGGGUGUAAAGGGAGCGUAGACGGCGAUGCAAGCCAGAUGUGAAAGCCCGGGGCUCAACCCCGGGACUGCAUUUGGAAGUGUGUGGCUGGAGUGUCGGAGAGGCAGGCGGAAUUCCUAGUGUAGCGGUGAAAUGCGUAGAUAUUAGGAGGAACCCCGAUUGCGAAGGCAGCCUUCCGGCGCCCUACUGACGCUGAGGCACGAAAGUGCGGGGAUCGAACAGGAUUAGAUACCCCUGUAGUG